GGGACUACUGUUGGAAAUGUGUCUCGUGUUGUUCCAAAAAUUGACAAGAGCAUUCAGCGAGUGGAUUUGGAGAUUUCCCCUGCUAAGAUCUCAGACUCGGCUCUCUACUACUGCGCCCUGGAGCCCACAGUGACAGGAAACCCAGUAACGCUGCACACAAAUCUUCCAUUGAGUAAGACAGGAGCAAAAUGAUGCUACACAUUCUAUGCAUACAUGACCUGAAUGAAUGAAUAAAUAAAGGUAGACAUUCAUUAAUUUAUAUUCUAAUAUGCAAAGAUGCCAUUUUAGUUUCCUCAUUUAGAGUAUAAACUGAAGGAUUCACUUUAAAAUUAUGACCUUAUUCUUGAGAUCCCCACAGAAUGUUUGUUUUCAUCAUGGCCCUAUUACGCCCUCAUAAUAUACUGUACAAGCUCUACUGGUAAGGGCAGAGAUCUGCCAAUAGAGGGCAGGCAAUGGCUUCAGAAUUCAGUCUCCUCUCCUUUACACUCUAUUUUCACAAACUUCAUGGUAUAUUUAUAGUCAUAGGCAUACUUAUAGUUAAUUUUCCCCCAAUUUGUGAAAUAUACCAUAAUCUGUUUUAUAACAAUGGCCCCAGGAAUUUCCCUUUCUCUUAUUACUUCCGCCAAGGAAGUUAUGUUUUCGUUGCCGUUUGUCUGCUUGUCUGUUUGUUUUUCUGACAGCAGUAUUAAGCAAAAAGUAACAGGCCAAUUUUCAUCAGACUUGGUGGGAAGGUGGAGCAUGGGCCAAAAAUAACCUUUUUAUUUACCAGGAAUUAAUUUGGCCUUGGCAGAGGAUCUGUACUCUACGAGUGCCCUUCUAGUUUUAUUUAAUUAAAUUAGUUGGGAAUGUGAGAGGUUUUAUCUGAGAUACUAUAUCAUAUGUUACAUUUUUGGACAUGUAUACAAAAGCAUGGUGCACAUAUGGGUUAAUCUAGUGCAUAGCAUGAAGUCACUUCCUGUGUCACUUGUGUGAAGUUUUCACAAACAGGCCCUCAGCAGACAGAGGAGGAGAGAUAGAGGCAUGGUGCAUCUAGAGUGCUGCUCCACUCAUUCCAUCCUCUACCUCUCUAGAAUGAUGAUGAAGCUCAUUUGUUUUCUUCUGGCCCUGUUGGGUUGUACUUUUAGCAAUCCCAUUUCUACUUUACAACACGAUGUGGAUGUCUCAGAGGGAGAAUCUGUCACCCUGUCCUGCACCUACACAGGGGACACGAGUAGUGAGUUGUACUGGUAUCAACAACACCUUGGUUCAAAGCCAGAGUACAUUUUAUUCAUAAUGGAAUCAGGAUUCAACAGGACGGCUGAUACACCCCUGCCUGGAGUGACUGUUCAUAUUGACAAGGAGCUCAAGCGAGUGGACAUGAAGAUCUCUCCAGUGAAGCUGUCUCACUCUGCUCUCUACUACUGUGCCCUGAGGCCCACAGUGACAGGAAACUGAAGGAGUGAAAACAAAAACCUGUCAAGGGGGAAUCCACGAGGCAGACCCUUUUCACAUCCUCUAUCACUCAUGUUUAUAGUUUUGCAGUAGACCUACUGCAGUGGCCCUGGCAGUAAGGAAGAGGAUUGAUGACAUUGCAGACACACACCAACAUCUACUCUAUCAAAUUUAAGUAAGUAAAUGUAAAGCCAAAACACAAACUAAACUUUACUGUAACAUAUUUAUGCAUACAUAAUUUAUGUUAAAUUAUGAAAGGGUGUUUCUAUUGCCAUUUCUGUAUAAUUUUGUUUGUACAAUAAAGUUUGACCAAUUAAAGUCCUUUUAUAUAACACAAUAUUCAUGUUUCAAUCGAAAUAAAUUCAAGUUGCAUUCAAAUGACACCUACACCUUGAGUUCAUUCGGCCAUUGAAUGUUUACUAGACAUUAGGCUUUUGUCAUGAUUCCAUAGAGACUGAUUUUAAAACCGUCCCCUGUAUACAUGAGUGCAAUCCCAUUCCUCAUGGACCUGUCCAACAUUGAUAAUGACAGAUAAUCUUUGAUGGAAACUUUAAAAUAACAGCGUUCAAAGGAGGGAAUCGUAGAUGCUUGAGGAUUUGUAACUUAUGGCCUCUCCUUCAAUCAAAGCUCCAGAGCCACUGUGCAUGACUUCAUCACCCCAUGAUGAUUAUGAUCAUGUGUAACUGUCAGAAGGAGGAGCUCAAAGAAUACAUGCAGCCACAAUCCAUCUCUGUGGAUGUCAGAGGAGAAGACACAUUCAGCGCUAGCAAUCGUAGACUCCUUACUCGUUUCCUUGUUCUCUUUCCUCUUUCACUGAAGAAAUGUCAUUACUAAUUAUUUUUACAGUGCUGUUAUUGUUCACUGGUGACUCAUUUGAGGAUUCAGUAACACCCAUUGAGACAGAGCAACACGCUUUAGAGGGUGAAACAGUGACUGUCUCAUGCAACUACAGUGGCUCAGUGAGAAGUCUGCACUGGUAUCGCCAGUUUGGCACAGCUGCUCCGGAGUUUCUUAAUCUCAUUUUAGAAGCCGGGACUGCUGUUGGAAAUGUGUCUCGUGUUGUUCCAAAAAUACACAAGAGCAUUCAGCGAGUGGAUUUGGAGAUUUCCCCUGCUAAGAUCUCAGACUCGGCUCUAUACUACUGCGCCCUGGAGCCCACAGUGACAGGAAACCCAGUAACGCUGCACAAAAAUCUUCCAUUGAGUAAGACAGGAGCAAAAUGAUGCUACACAUUCUAUGCAUACAUGACCUGAAGGAAUGAAUAAAUGAAGGAAGACAUUCAUUCAUUUAUGUUCUAAUAUGCAAAGAUGCCAUUUUAGUUUCCUCAUUUAGAGUAUAAAUUGAAGGAUCCAUAAAAUGAUCAAUUUCCCUCUCGCCAAGUGACUGUAUGGGUCAUGAGAUUUUUCUAGAAUGAAUGAAGCUGUACUGAUGACCUGAAAUAUUGCAUUUGCUAAAAGGUUAAAAGACAUUCACUCCCCCUUCAUAUAAUUAUCAUAUUAUAGGGGCUGUUAGAGAUGCAGGCACACCUGGGCCCAGUCUUAAUGGGCCCAAAAAAUAUAACUAUGUUGCAUGAGUCCUGACCUUAGGCAAGCUCUCUGUGUUUUAUCCACAAAAUAAACAAAUUCAGACCUUUGAGGUAGGGACAGGAGGCAUGGCUUGAACUAUCCAAUAGAGAUGCAAACAGUUAUAAUAGUGCCUAUUCCAGUCAAUUGGUUAUGGGCGCAUUCUCAUCAAAAUACGCAAUUGCCAUUGGGCACUUUACAAUAUAUGCCCUGCCCCCAUUAAAGCGCUACCCUCUAUCAUUUCUGAGAUAAUGUUGGUUUAGGGUGUUUUAGUGUGUACAAAAUCAUAUACAAACAUGUAAAAAAAUCAUAUACAAACAUGUACAAAAUCAUGGAAAGAACAUAAGUACUGACCCAAACCGUGCAAGAGAAAAGUAGGUCCAUGUUGUGUUUCUUCUACAUGGAUGGGUGGGGGGUCUUUGCCAUGUCGUGCACCUGUGGUGACAGGAGAGUGAUGCCAGCCCUGAUGCCACUGAAUCUUGUGAUAUCACUGGUGAAAGCAAACAUGUGACUAUGACAUCAGAGGCCAAAGCAUACAUGAUGAAACUCAUUUGGAAACAUUUGGAGAGGAUGACAAACACACAGACAGAAAUUCUCAUGGCAUUAAGUUAAAUCACCUGCAACAAGAAAACUGGGCAAAACCAUAUCUAUUUAACACCACUUAGCCAGCAUUUAUAUCUCACCUACUCCAUCUAUGCUGCAUUAAUUAUAUAAAACUAAAUAUUAAAUAUAUAAAAUCAUUUUAAACAUCUGUCUGAAGUAGCGAUGUAAACUGAUACAAAUGUCUAAGACAUCACACAGUACAUCAAAACACAUGGCGGAAUAUGUUUUAUACCUGUUGAUCCAUCUACAGUACAGCAUCAGCUUGGAGGGAAUUAUAAAAGUAAUAACAAUGACAAAUCAAUACAUGAUAUAUUCGUGGGGCUAAAUCUGUUCACUGAUCAGUUUUAUUUUCAAAGAUGAAGGCUUGUUGUUCUAAAGUACAUGACUUGAGUACCACACAAUUGGCAAUAAUGAGAAAAAGGUUCUAGGUAUACGGUUCUAGGUAUACAUUUUGAAUUGCGUGUGAAUAUAGAAAUAUGAUUAGUAUUAGACUCCUUGUUAAAAUUGCAUAACACAACAUACAAUGACUGAAAACAACUCCUCUUACCUUCAAAGAAUGUACUGGUCCAACUGACAUUCAAAGCCAACAAAGACUGCUGCA